rnacentral:rRNA from 1 species
UACAGAGGUCUCAAGCGUUGUUCGGAUUCAUUGGGCGUAAAGGGUGCGUAGGCGGCGCGGUAAGUCGGGUGUGAAAUCUCGGAGCUUAACUCCGAAACUGCAUUUGAUACUGGCGUGCUUGAGGACUGGAGAGGAGACUGGAAUUCAUGGUAUAGCAGUGAAAUGCGUAGAGAUCAUGAGGAAGACCAGUGGCGAAGGCGGGUCUCUGGACAGUUCCUGACACUGAGGCACGAAGGCCAGGGGAGCAAACGGG